rnacentral:rRNA from 1 species
UUGCUCCCAGAGGUUAGCGGCGGACGGGUGAGUAACACGUGGGCAACCUGCCCUGUAGACUGGGAUAACAUCGAGAAAUCGGUGCUAAUACCGGAUAAUCAAAGGAAUCACAUGGUUCUUUUGUAAAAGAUGGCUCCGGCUAUCACUACGGGAUGGGCCCGCGGCGCAUUAGCUAGUUGGUAAGGUAAUGGCUUACCAAGGCGACGAUGCGUAGCCGACCUGAGAGGGUGAUCGGCCACACUGGGACUGAGACACGGCCCAGACUCCUACGGGAGGCAGCAGUAGGGAAUCUUCCGCAAUGGACGAAAGUCUGACGGAGCAACGCCGCGUGAGUGAUGAAGGUUUUCGGAUCGUAAAGCUCUGUUGUUAGGGAAGAACAAGUGCCGUUCGAAUAGGUCGGCACCUUGACGGUACCUAACCAGAAAGCCACGGCUAACUACGUGCCAGCAGCCGCGGUAAUACGUAGGUGGCAAGCGUUGUCCGGAAUUAUUGGGCGUAAAGCGCGCGCAGGCGGUCUUUUAAGUCUGAUGUGAAA